CUGAUCCGAUACGGUUGAUUGAAUCUUGCAUAACAUUCCACAGUUUACCAAACAAACGUGGCCGAAAGGUGUAGCUUUGAAGAGUUAACUUUUGCAUCAACUGCAAGCGACACACCAGUCCACGACAAUGGUCGAUUCAACCGCCGCUAUCGCCGUCUGCAGUGUCGGGUUUGGACUGUUUGUAAUUGGCUGGAUCGGAAGUAUGUGUUACUUCAGGACGCCGUGCAAAGACAUCGAAAAAGAAACCCAACAUGUCGAAGAGGGGAACCUCGAUUAGACAUAUGAGAAGAUCUUGAGAUCAGUGUUGUUAUUUAGUGAGUUUGAGAGAAGUUUUAACCUGUACCUGAAGCUAAAGACUGAGGACUCAGGAUUAGCACUAGACAAUUGUAUUUUAUAUCUGAAUGAAGUAUCCACGACGAGCAGUUCAAGAAACAGCAGCAUUUACAAGUAGUCGACACUAUAAAUUUUUUUUACAAUGACUCUUCACUGGACAUGAACGACGCGUCCCACUCUAACCGAUAGAGGCUGGGUACUUCUACAUUUGUAAAUAUCUGGGUAACUUUACGAACCAUUCGUGACAUUUUGAUAUGUACUUGUUUUAGUUAGGCUUUGGUAAAUAAUAAAAAAUUGACACUUCAGUGCAGCUUACACAAUGCAUACUGCGUAGCUCCUUCAAUUACAAAUCCGGGUAGUUUUGCACAAGAGUCAUUGGUUUACACUAAAUCCAGAUCCGAUACUGUCCUGUUACUUUGCGCUUCUGUGGGACUAAGCAAUAUUUACUUUUGUCAGGAUUUCCCGCCCUAAAUAAGACCGCGUGGAAGAAGUAAAAUCGCAACAAAAUAUA